rnacentral:rRNA from 1 species
GUGAGUAACUAAAAAUUAUGAAAACAAAAAAAUUUGGCGGUACUUUAAGCUUUUCAGAGGAAUUUGCUCUGUAAUGGAUAAAUCGCCUAAAUCUUACUAAAAUUUGUUAAGUCAGUUUGUAUACCACUAUAAAAGUAAUAUUUAAUUAUUAUUACUUUAAUUUUUAAAAAAUAAAAAAUUAAAUUAAGUCAUGGUGCAGCAUAAAUUUUAGGAUGAAGUGAAUUACAUUUCUUUUUAGAAUUUUAAAAAAUUAAAGUAAAUUUUAGGAUUUGAAAGUAAAAAUUCAAUAAAAUGGUUUUUUGAA